AAAGAGUAUAAACGCAAUGUUACACUUGUGGUUUAUUAGUUUAAGGUCCUUUUAGUUUAAUUUCCGUUAUUUUAAGUUUCAAAUUGUAACAGUUGUCUUAUUACGUCAUCACACGUUUUUUCUAGUAUUCCCUAGAAUUUCUUUAUUGUUUCUUGUUGCUAUUCUCUUACUCGUAAUAAUGUCUGUUGUGUUUUUUUCGUUUUGCUGCACCGCCAACUUAAAUGUUCAAUAGAUGUAAGUGUAUGUGUUUGUCUGUCAAGUAUCAUGUUGGAGGUGGCGUUUCAUGUGGAGGUGGCGAUCCUCGUCAAGCUCCUGUAGGAGAGCAAGCUCGUUCCGGUCCAAAGGACCGAUCACCCCGAGACCAGAGUGGCCAUUGGUUAUUUAAAAGCGUCAAUAACUCGCCAUGUCAUAUCGAUCAUCAUAGGUGCUCAGUAUUUGCUGGUGCCUCCCGACCUCUCACUGAGACUCUCCGUUCAAUACCGCUGAUUGUCCGCGACUGCCGUUGCAGCUACUUCGUAUGGAGCAUUGCACUAUCUGCAACCUAUGGACGCGGCCGGGAGCUCGCAGCUAAGCUUCUCGUGACAGCAAAGAACACCACACAGAUCGGACCUCAAAGUUCCAGCUUGUGUAGUGCACACAGCUAUCCCGUGCCGGCGUCAAGUAUCAUGUUAUGUAUGUGUGUUUGCCUUUGUUAAUGCUGGUCUGCUUUAGCAGAGAUCAUGAGAGUACCUAUCGCGAAGUUACCAGAUUGUGUAUUCUCGAAACAUCGAUGUGGCCACCAAGAGGUAUAUAACGGAGUGGCGUAACGCAAUACAAGUCAGUCUUACCUGUGAACGCGUAUUGUAAAUGUAUCAGCAAACAGAAGUUGUAAAGCAAAGACGGCGAUCAAUAAAUCAUUGUAAAGUAAAGUAAUUGUAAACGGACUGUGUUUCAAUUGAAAGUAAAACGUCUACAGUAAAAAACAGAACAAAAUAUUAUAAAUGUGUCUCUUGUUAAUAGAUUUUACUAAAGAAACUCUAGAAAAGUCGGUACAAAUCUGGCGAAAGGUCGAGAAAAGAAUGCAAUAAACUUGGUUCAUUUGCUUUUUGAAACAUAUUGAUCCUAACAAACCGCAAAAAUCACAGACUUCAUUGGCUUGGAAAACGAGGCUGAUGACGGAAGAUAACAAAUGCAGAAUUCCUUCAUGUGGAUGUAGAUUUCGUGGUGUUGUCCGCAAAAUGCUAAGAUUGACGGUAUCCACGACGAUGAAGAGAAGCUUAUUAAGGCAAUUUUUUCUUCUUUCUUUUAGAAAAUAUUAAUU